rnacentral:rRNA from 1 species
AGAUUAAGUUAUUAAGGGCGCACGGUGGAUGCCUUGGCACUAGAAGCCGAUGAAGGACGUUACUAACGACGAUAUGCUUUGGGGAGCUGUAAGUAAGCUUUGAUCCAGAGAUUUCCGAAUGGGGAAACCCAGCAUGAGUUAUGUCAUGUUAUCGAUAUGUGAAUACAUAGCAUAUCAGAAGGCACACCCGGAGAACUGAAACAUCUUAGUACCCGGAGGAAGAGAAAGAAAAUUCGAUUCCCUUAGUAGCGGCGAGCGAAACGGGAAGAGCCCAAACCCACAAGCUUGCUUGUUGGGGUUGUAGGACACUCUAUACGGAGUUACAAAGGACGACAUUAGACGAAUCAUCUGGAAAGAUGAAUCAAAGAAGGUAAUAAUCCUGUAGUCGAAAAUGUUGUCUCUCUUGAGUGGAUCCUGAGUACGACGGAGCACGUGAAAUUCCGUCGGAAUCUGGGAGGACCAUCUCCUAAGGCUAAAUACUCUCUAGUGACCGAUAGUGAACCAGUACCGUGAGGGAAAGGUGAAAAGCACCCCGGAAGGGGAGUGAAAUAGAACCUGAAACCGUGUGCUUACAAGUAGUCAGAGCCCGUUAAUGGGUGAUGGCGUGCCUUUUGUAGAAUGAACCGGCGAGUUACGAUUUGAUGCAAGGUUAAGCAGUAAAUGUGGAGCCGUAGCGAAAGCGAGUCUGAAUAGGGCGUUUAGUAUUUGGUCGUAGACCCGAAACCAGGUGAUCUACCCUUGGUCAGGUUGAAGUUCAGGUAACACUGAAUGGAGGACCGAACCGACUUACGUUGAAAAGUGAGCGGAUGAACUGAGGGUAGCGGAGAAAUUCCAAUCGAACCUGGAGAUAGCUGGUUCUCUCCGAAAUAGCUUUAGGGCUAGCCUCAAGUGAUGAUUAUUGGAGGUAGAGCACUGUUUGGACGAGGGGCCCCUCUCGGGUUACCGAAUUCAGACAAACUCCGAAUGCCAAUUAAUUUAACUUGGGAGUCAGAACAUGGGUGAUAAGGUCCGUGUUCGAAAGGGAAACAGCCCAGACCACCAGCUAAGGUCCCAAAAUAUAUGUUAAGUGGAAAAGGAUGUGGCGUUGCCCAGACAACUAGGAUGUUGGCUUAGAAGCAGCCAUCAUUUAAAGAGUGCGUAAUAGCUCACUAGUCGAGUGACACUGCGCCGAAAAUGUACCGGGGCUAAACAUAUUACCGAAGCUGUGGAUUGUCCUUUGGACAAUGGUAGGAGAGCGUUCUAAGGGCGUUGAAGCAUGAUCGUAAGGACAUGCGGAGCGCUUAGAAGUGAGAAUGCCGGUGUGAGUAGCGAAAGACGGGUGAGAAUCCCGUCCACCGAUUGACUAAGGUUUCCAGAGGAAGGCUCGUCCGCUCUGGGUUAGUCGGGUCCUAAGCUGAGGCCGACAGGCGUAGGCGAUGGAUAACAGGUUGAUAUUCCUGUACCACCUAUAAUCGUUUUAAUCGAUGGGGGGACGCAGUAGGAUAGGCGAAGCGUGCGAUUGGAUUGCACGUCUAAGCAGUAAGGCUGAGUAUUAGGCAAAUCCGGUACUCGUUAAGGCUGAGCUGUGAUGGGGAGAAGACAUUGAGUCUUCGAGUCGUUGAUUUCACACUGCCGAGAAAAGCCUCUAGAUAGAAAAUAGGUGCCCGUACCGCAA